AGCUUUGCGCAGUGGCAGUAUCGUAGCCAAUGAGGUUUAUCCGAGGCGCGAUUAUUGCUAAUUGAAAAAGUUACUGUGUGAUAUGGCCCCAUUACACUUUCUUUGCUAAGUGUAAGAAAGAGUUUUUUUGCCCUCGAUGGGA
ensembl:snRNA LOC120101125 U4 spliceosomal RNA